ACGGUGCGAACACACGUACCAGGGAGACAGCCAGAAAUGCAAACAGCAACGCCCAUAGAAUGUACAUUAAGUAAUUCAGAAUGUAAGCGCUGGCGCCCUAGAGAUCAGACACAAAACAAGGAAGAAGUGACGAGCCAUAGCAAACUUCAACAGCGUCCCCAGGCCCACCAUCUCCAUCGGAGAAAGCGAAGCUGUGAUAGGUUCCUCCCAGGCCUGCAAAAACAGAUGACGACAUACCUCUGACUGGCUCAGAAGAAGCUCUGACCACUUCUGCCACAGGGGACACUUGUCCCUGUCCUCAAAAGUGGUCUCGUUGGAGGUCCAACAGCACUGUUCAUGGCUGUACCAGAAUGCGGACAGACAGACCCCCUCCUUGAGGUCCGUCAUCCAAUCCACAGCGAGAUCGAUGACUCCAGCCAAGGUACCUGAGAAACAGAUGAAUUUACAGAGAACUGUCACAGGGAGAGGUGACAGGGUCUUCUCAAAACCGAGGACACACCCAUGACAUGACGUUGCUACUGAACCCGACAGUAGUUUAGGUUCUUCUGUAGCUAAACGUACAGAUAAUAUUAAGGGUACUGAAUGCCAAGUGGAUGCAUGACGACAUAGCGAGUUGCUCCCCGACCCCGAUCUUCAAUGUCAUCACCUCCAUCCUCAAGGAUAAGAAAAUGAGGCCCAAAAAAUGACAGCUCCAGACUCCAGUCCCAUCAAGGUCUUUCUCUCUGUGGAACCGACAUGCGACACACGGCCUCAGGCUCACAUCCCAACCAAGAGAUGGAAGCUUUGUGGAACGAUGGGCAAGGACCUCUUCAGCACAGGAUCGCCCACCUUCCUAUGUCUGUCGGUAUCCCGGGACUUUUCCCUCAGCCAGUCUAUGGUGUGGAAGUCCUCGUAGGUCCCCACGUCAGGGAAGGGCUCCUCGAGGAAGUCCAUGAGGUUCCCAGAGGCGCUCGUGGCUCCCGCCCUGACCGUGCUAGUCACUCCUGGAAGAGAAGUCCACCCGUUAAAAACGCAGACGGGGCUCGUGUGUGGCUCGGGACCGAGUGUCUGCAGAGCGCGCGUGAGGACUCGGGUUCCGUCCCCGGCUCCACCGAGAAACUAAGCGGGACCACAACAUAGAUAUGGCGGCAUGAUUCAGGAACUCUCUACUUUAUAUCUCCCUCCCUCCUGCUCUUUCUCUCUCCCCACCUCUCCGUGCCACUGUGUGUGUGUGUGUUGGUGUGUAUUAGAUGAACCUUUCACAUGUUAGGCCAGGGCUCGACCACUAAUUCCUUCUCUGUGUUUGUUUUGAGACAGAGUCUGGCGUAGCCCAAACUGUCCUUGAACCCAUUCUGUCAUCACGCAUUAACUCCCCCCCCACACACACGCGCACACACACACACACACACGCACACACACAC
rnacentral:lncRNA from 1 species